rnacentral:rRNA from 1 species
UACAGAGGUGGCAAGCGUUGUUCGGAAUUACUGGGCGUAAAGAGCUCGUAGGCGGUUUGUCGCGUCUGCCGUGAAAGUCCGGGGCUCAACUCCGGAUCUGCGGUGGGUACGGGCAGACUAGAGUGAUGUAGGGGAGACUGGAAUUCCUGGUGUAGCGGUGAAAUGCGCAGAUAUCAGGAGGAACACCGAUGGCGAAGGCAGGUCUCUGGGCAUUAACUGACGCUGAGGAGCGAAAGCAUGGGGAGCGAACAGG